UACGUAGGGGGCUAGCGUUGUCCGGAUUUAUUGGGCGUAAAGAGCGUGUAGGCGGCCAGGUAGGUCUGCUGUGAAAACUCGAGGCUCAACCUCGAGACGUCGGCGGAAACCAUCUGGCUAGAGUCCGGAAGAGGAGAGUGGAAUUCCUGGUGUAGCGGUGAAAUGCGCAGAUAUCAGGAAGAACACCCGUGGCGAAGGCGGCUCACUGGACAGCAACUGACGCUGAUGCGCGAAAGCUAGGGGAGCAAACAGG
rnacentral:rRNA from 1 species